rnacentral:rRNA from 1 species
UCCCUACGGGGCGCAGCAGUGAGGAAUAUUGGUCAAUGGGCGGAAGCCUGAACCAGCCAAGUCGCGUGAGGGAUUAAGGCCCUGCGGGUCGUAAACCUCUUUUGCCGGGGAGCAGAGGUCCGGACGUGUCCGGGCCGGGAGAGUACCCGGAGAAAAAGCAUCGGCUAACUCCGUGCCAGCAGCCGCGGUAAUACGGAGGAUGCGAGCGUUAUCCGGAUUUAUUGGGUUUAAAGGGUGCGUAGGCGGACUGUUAAGUCAGCGGUAAAAGCCCGGGGCUCAACCCCGGCGAGCCGUUGAAACUGGCU